CUUUAAGUAUGAAGAGUGGGGUCAGAAGUACACUGCCUUGUUAAUUAGAUCAGCAGGCUGAGACCGGACUGCAGCUGCAACUGCUGCCUAAGGCAGCAGCUCCCUCCAUCCAUGUGUCCCCCUGCUCUAUGGAAGAUGGGGCACCAAUGAAAGGCUGUGUUCGCUCUGGGAGCGAUGUUCCUUCUUAUCUCCUUCUGAUGAUGACUGAGCAGAGAAAGUCUUGACUAUUCUGCUGGAAAGGAGCAACAGAUGAAGCAUCUCUCAGGAAUGGUCUCCUGCUGAGGUGAAAGAGGCAUCUAGAGUGCCCAUUGUUGAUCAGGAUAGUAGCCUCACAAAAGUUUUAAAUCUCAGGGAUUUUAUUUCAGCAAGAGUGGCUAGUGGCCUGGUACCAUGGGUACCUGGUACCCCUAAACUUUUCUAAUUUUUAUUUAUUCUAUGUACAUAUUUAUUUAUUGCCAAUGGGUGGAACCAAAUAAUUAGUAACUAUACUGUGAGGAUUUGGGGAAUCUGUUUGAUUUUAUGAACUACGUGUAUGUUUAUGCCCUUAUAGGCUGCCUGUACUGUAGUCUUGCAUCACACUAUUUGUGUUAAGGAGAGGGAGUGUGGCCGCUGGGGUCAGCCUCAGAAUGGAUGGCCAUUAAGUACCAUCAACAACUGAAUAAGCCUUGCCCUAGCAGGAAAAUGGGGUGGUUGCAGUCUGUCUAGAUCAAACCAGUUAUCUCCAACUUGUCUGCAGAGGAGCAGAGAAAGAAAAUACAAAAACAAAAACAAAAAACAAGAGAAGGAACAAUGAACCCAAGAUGUUAGUGCUAGCUUUUAAGAACAUAAAGUCUGGGAGGGUCAGAAACACAAAUAGAGUUUAGGGCAGGAGUGAGAGCAGACUCCAUGAUCUGGACAUGAACACAGAGUGGGAGGAGUAAGGUUCAAAAGAGACAUGAGAUCCUGAAAGGACACUGACCAAAUCUCAAAGAAUGCUCAAGAGUGAUGAGGAGACUGAGGUAGGCCUGUCUUUUAACAGCUUUUAACUUUUAACAGCCCAGUCGGCAAGAGCCGCCAGAGUCCCUUUUCAACUGGGUGUUCCGGUCGAAAACCGAAUGCCUGGCAACCCUAGACCAGACCGAAGGGAGCAGAAAAGCUCACUGAUCUAGUGCUUGGAUCCAAACACAGCAGCCUGGUGAGUGUUCAACACGGGGGAGCUACGCCCCCCUUAGGUCUCAUUCCUGACUCCAACAGACACGGAUGGCCAAAAUAAUCCAAUCUUGCAUGCAUGGGGCUUGUGCGCACCAGAAGUGGAAUCCAUGUGGAUAAUCUUUCAAAGAAGAACUAGCAGACAUUCUGGGUGGGAUUUUCAAAAUAAUUUUAAUGGAAAUUGGGCACCCAAAUCUCUUAGGCAGAGUUGAUAAUAGCCUCAACGAAACUGAAAGGGAACAAAUUACAACUGAUAAAAGGAACUAUUCUUUUACCCACAGCAUAUUUCACCUGUGGAACUCAUUGCCACAUUAUAACAUUGAAACCAAGAGCUUAGUAGGUUUUAAAGAAGGAUUAUAUAUUUAUAUGAUAAUGAGAACACCUGCAUUUACUUUAGAAAGGCUAAAAAAUUGUAAGAACUAUAAACCCUUGUCCUUCAGGACAUAAAUUGGCCACUAACCGAUGGGGAUUAGAAGGAAACUUCCCCAAUGGGUAGUUAUUCCAUCACUGUCCACUACUGGUGGUUAUAGUUCAUUUUGGGAACCUCUGCUCUAAAGGGUUUGGCCUUAACCAGGUUUGACCUUUCUUCUUCUGUGAUACCUUGGUCACUGAUAUCAGCUGAGGUGCCCAAGCCAACAGCUCCUUAUUUAAAUAGGAAGAGGGUGGGGACAGAGGAUUUCUGAUGAGUGGCCCUCUACUUUGGAACUCGUUCCUCCCACCCAGAGCUAUAGUCUGUUCAUUCUGCAAGGCCUGCUGGGUUUAUUCUCCCACACUGCGACAGCAGAAUCCAGAUUUGUAGUGCUAGGGGAAAUGAAGCUCAUAUCAGGUUGCACAUGUCAGUGAGGUGAAAGAAAAUGGACACAUCUAAUCUGCACUUCUUCCUUUCAUCAUUCUAGUUAUUCUCACCACGCCUUGUGAUGUUAUUGAAAUGAACUGUGACUGUAUACAUCAUUGUUGCAACCAGGGUCUUAUGGUUGCACCAGGUCUUGUACAGAGGAGGUCAACUGGGGUGUCUAUGGAAAGAAAGGUUGUAGUUUGCUGAUUAUGAUU